rnacentral:rRNA from 1 species
GAUGAACGCUGGCGGCGUGCCUAAUACAUGCAAGUCGAACGCUGACGGAGGAGCUUGCUCUUCUGGCUGAGUUGCGAACGGGUGAGUAACGCGUAGGUAACCUGCCUGGUUGUGGGGGAUAACUAUUGGAAACGAUAGCUACUACCGCAUGACAACCGUUCUUGCAUGAUAACUGUUUAAAAGGGGCACCUGCUCCACUACCAGAUGGCCCUGUGUUGUAUUAGCUAGUUGGGGAGGGAACGGCUCACCAAGGCGAAGGUACAUCGGCGGCCUGAGAGGGUGAUCCGCCACACUGGGACUGGGACACGGCCCAGGACCCUACGGGAGGCAGCAGGAGGGGAACAUUGGAAAAGGGCGGAAAGCUUGACGAGGAACGCCGGGGGGGGGAAGGAAGGUUUCGGGGCGGAAAGCUCUGUUUGAUGAGAAGGAAGAGUGGGAGGUUAAAAAGUUCACGCUGUGACGGUAUCUAACCAGAAAGCGACGGCUAACUACGUG